rfam:Oryza barthii chromosome 11, whole genome shotgun sequence.
UAUAAUUACAACUAUCAGAUUCCGCGUCUAACUUUAAUCGUCCGUCAUAUUUAAAUCUUUUUUAUAAUUAUUAUUUUUGUUGUUACAAGAUGAUAAGAUAUGAAUAAACUUAUGUUUUUAAAAUUUUUUUAAAAAAAUUUAAAAUAAGACGAACGAAAAGUUAAACGUGGAAAACUAUGGCUGCACUUAAA